AGCUUUGCACAGUGGCAGUAUCAUAGCCAAUGAGGUUUAUCCGAGGCAGAUUAUUAUUGCUAAUUGAAAGUAUUUGUUCACUUUUUGUUUUAAAAUGUACUUAAGGCCUAUAUUUUAAAUACAUAUUAUAUCUUUCAAAGU